UACGUAGGGGGCAAGCGUUGUCCGGAUUCAUUGGGCGUAAAGCGCGUGUAGGCGGCCAGGUAGGUCCGAUGUGAAAUCUGGAGGCUCAACCUCCAGCGGUCAUUGGAAACCAUCUGGCUAGAGUCCGGAAGAGGAGAGUGGAAUUCCUGGUGUAGCGGUGAAAAUGCGCAGAUAUCAGGAAGAACACCGAUGCGAAGGCAGCUCUCUGGGGACGGUACUGACGCUGAGACGCGAAAAAGCGUGGGGGGAGCGAA
rnacentral:rRNA from 1 species